ACACCGUUGGUGAAGUGGUUAUCAUGCUUGCCUUCCAUUCAGGUUCUUUGGAUGUUAUAGCAAGCGGCUCGGGUUCGAUUCCCGAACGGUGUA